rnacentral:lncRNA from 1 species
AACAAGAAUGUGUCCAAAGUACACGGAUGCCCCACUCGCACUAUCAUUUUCCAUGUUCAAUGGACCGCGAAAUUGGAUAAAAAAUAUAAUUAGGCAUUAAAAUUAGAAAGAUACUAUCAUAGGGAACAUGUGUGUACUAAGUUUUCAAGUUGAUUGACUUCAACUUCAUCAAAAACUACCUUGACCAAAAACUUUAACCUGAAACAUGCACUUUCAUUUUCUAUGUUCAGUGGACCGUAAAAUUGGGGUCAAAAGUUUAAGUUGGCUUUAAAAUUAGAAAGAUCAUAUCAUAAGGAAUAUGUGUACUAAGUUUCAAGUUGAUUGGACUUCAACUUCAUCAAAAACUACCUUGACCAAAAACUUUAACCUGAAGCGGGACAGACGGACGAACGAACAGACGGACAGACGGACGGACGAACGGACGAACGGACGCACAGACCAGAAAACAUAAUGACCCUCUACUAUCGUAGGUGGGGCAUAAAAAC